rnacentral:tRNA from 1 species
AGAAACUUAGGAUAAACAAACCAAGGGCCUUCAAAGCCCAAAAUAAGAACUCAACCUCUUAGUUUCUG